rnacentral:rRNA from 1 species
GACGAACGCUGGCGGCGUGCCUAAUACAUGCAAGUCGAGCGAACAGAUGAGGAGCUUGCUCCUCUGACGUUAGCGGCGGACGGGUGAGUAACACGUGGAUAACCUACCUAUAAGACUGGGAUAACUUCGGGAAACCGGAGCUAAUACCGGAUAAUAUAUUGAACCGCAGGGUUCAAUAGUGAAAGACGGUUUUGCUGUCACUUAUAGAUGGAUCCGCGCCGCAUUAGCUAGUUGGUAAGGUAACGGCUUACCAAGGCAACGAUGCGUAGCCGACCUGAGAGGGUGAUCGGCCACACUGGAACUGAGACACGGUCCAGACUCCUACGGGAGGCAGCAGUAGGGAAUCUUCCGCAAUGGGCGCAAGCCUGACGGAGCAACGCCGCGUGAGUGAUGAAGGUCUUCGGAUCGUAAAACUCUGUUAUUAGGGAAGAACAAAUGUGUAAGUAACUAUGCACGUCUUGACGGUACCUAAUCAGAAAGCCACGGCUAACUACGUG